GUUGAGGUCUCGACUCAGUGGUGUGGUUCAUGAUCAGCUUCAGAGCUCUGUAAGGGACGUUUUCAGACAUUGUCUUCAGUGUGUCUGGCGGCAAAUCAACUGAACAAGCCGCUUGGCUGUGUGUUAACCAACAGAGAUAUAUACACCAAGAUAUUUAUAUACGUUUCCUUACCAAUACUGUGAUCACCACUUGGGCUCCUGCACCAGUCGGGCUCCAGCUCCACGUGGGUCCCAGGUCUUCCUGGGCUCCAUAAGCUCCUGGUUACUCCAGUCAUCUGGGUAUCAUCUACCAUCAUGGGAAGACUAAAUACCUUCUGCUCUGAACACGGAAAGAAAUAUAGGAUAAUUGAACCAAGGAUGUCAAGAACACAUCCAAGCGAAACCUACACCGACCAUA